CGAGGCUCUCUUGCCGUGACAUCAAAGGCUAGCAAGCAUCACUCUACUGGCUAGUUCGACGUUUUGUUUGCGUCUUUCUACAGAGAGAAAAAAGAUAACGAAUUUAACUCAGACUUUCUGCCGAAGAUGAUGAGCACAAACGUGAAAACGUUUCUUCCUCGUCGCCAGUUUUGUCGUAUAGCACACUGUAUUACUUAUACAACUAAUAUAAGGACAGGACAUGAGACCAGAGUAGAAAUGAACGUGGGCAUUGUUUAAUGCGUUUUACAGGAAGAACAUUCCAAGCAUUUCAACGUAGUCAGCUCAACUCAUAUACUUGAUCACCGACAAACAAUUGGCAUGCAUAAAGAGAUGGAGAAAAAAACAAUUCUAGAGGUCCCUCCCUGCUCUCCAUCGACUCCCAUGAACACCUGUGUCCCCCCAUCCCACUCACGCGCUCCUUCACCUACUCCUAACCCAAUCUUGGCAGCGAGGCUCGUCACCAAGCUUAGGACCCUGGGACUGGACACCUCCCUCUGCAACUGGAUCCGAGACAUACUGACGGGCCGACCCAGGUGGUGAGGGUAGUUAACAUCACCACUGCACAGUUGGCUUCAAAGAGAUGCAUCCACAGCUGAAGUCUGAAGUUUACAUACACUUAGGUUGGAGUCAUUAAAACUCGUUUUUCAACCACUCCACAAACUUCUUGUUAACAAACUAUAGUUUUGGCAAGUCGGUUAGUACAUGACACAAGUAAUCUUUCCAACAAUUGUUUAGAGACAGAUUAUUUCACGUAUAAUUCACUGUAUCACAAUUCCAGUGGGUCAGAAGUUUACAUACACUACAUUGACUGUGCCUUUAAACAGCUUGUAAAAUUCCCAGAAAUUAUGUUACAUUUACAUUACAUUUAAGUCAUUUGGCAGACGCUCUUAUCCAGAGCGACUUACAAAUUGGUGAAUUCACCUUAUGACAUCCAGUGGAACAGCCACUUUACAAUAGUGCA